rnacentral:misc_RNA from 1 species
GCUAUCGCCUUGUUCAUCGGAGGUGGACCACAUCUCAAAAUCUGAAUGUCAGAUGCUGGUGCGGGGCAAUGAUUUUGAAUCAUCUCCUUUGACACAAAGCCAACGCCACCAUUCCAAGACUCAGGGGGCUGAUUCAACACAUAGUACACUUUGAAGCGAUCUGGAUAUUUACUAGUAAGGCUUUCCAGCUCUUCCUUCAGAAGGAUGUCAUCAACUGUGACAUUGGCAUAGAUUAGAUGAACAUUUGUUUUGUCCGUUGGGUUCUCCAAUAUCGCUCGUGUAACUUGGAACAUUGGUGUUAUGCCAGAUCCUCCGGCUAUCAUGCCAAAUGCUCUGACUUGCCCAGGUUGAUAUGUGAAACGUCCCUUGGGGCCCUUCACUGACAGAAAGUCA